UGGGGAAUGUUGGACAAUGGGGGAAACCCUGAUCCAGCCAUCCCGCGUGUGUGAUGAAGGCCUUCGGGUUGUAAAGCACUUUUGGCUGGAAAGAAACGUCAUGGGUUAAUACCCCGUGAAACUGACGGUACCUGCAGAAUAAGCACCGGCUAACUACGUGCCAGCAGCCGCGGUAAUACGUAGGGUGCAAGCGUUAAUCGGAAUUACUGGGCGUAAAGCGUGCGCAGGCGGUUCGGAAAGAAAGAUGUGAAAUCCCAGAGCUCAACUUUGGAACUGCAUUUUUAACUACCGGGCUAGAGUGUGUCAGAGGGAGGUGGAAUUGCGCGUGUAGCAGUGAAAUGCGUAGAUGUGCGGAGGAACACCGAUGGGGAAGGCAGCCUCCUGGGAUAACACUGACGCUCAUGCACGAAAGCGUGGGGAGCAAACAGG
rnacentral:rRNA from 1 species